GACGAAGGACCCGAGCGUUAUCCGGAUUCAUUGGGUUUAAAGGGUGCGUAGGCGGAUUGAUAAGUCAGUGGUGAAAGCCUGUUGCUUAACAACAGAACUGCCAUUGAUACUGUUGAUCUUGAAUAUGUUUGAUGUGGGCGGAAUAUGACAUGUAGCGGUGAAAUGCUUAGAUAUGUCAUAGAACACCGAUUGCGAAGGCAGCUCACAAAGCCAUUAUUGACGCUGGAGGCACGAAAGCGUGGGGAUCAAACAGG
rnacentral:rRNA from 1 species